GACGAACGCUGGCGGCGUGCUUAACACAUGCAAGUCGAACGGAAAGGCCCUGCUUUUGUGGGGUGCUCGAGUGGCGAACGGGUGAGUAACACGUGAGUAACCUGCCCUUGACUUUAGGAUAACUUCGGGAAACUGGGGCUAAUACCGGAUAGGAGCUCCUGCUGCAUGGUGGGGGUUGGAAAGUUUCGGCGGUUGGGGAUGGACUCGCGGCUUAUCAGCUUGUUGGUGGGGUAGUGGCUUACCAAGGCUUUGACGGGUAGCCGGCCUGAGAGGGUGACCGGCCACAUUGGGACUGAGAUACGGCCCAGACUCCUACGGGAGGCAGCAGUGGGGAAUAUUGCACAAUGGGCGGAAGCCUGAUGCAGCAACGCCGCGUGCGGGAUGACGGCCUUCGGGUUGUAAACCGCUUACGCCUGUGACGAAGCGUGAGUGACGGUAAUGGGUAAAGAAGCACCGGCUAACUACGUG
rnacentral:rRNA from 1 species